rnacentral:lncRNA from 1 species
GAGAUUUCACACAAACUUAUGCAUUUGUCAAGGGGGAGAGCAUGGGGAGUGCAUUUGCUCAGGGGAAGCUUUGUGAGCUUUUAUGCUUUUUUGCCAGUCGCGUUAAGCUUCUUACCUCUUCUUGAGGAGCCGGUUUUUAUUUGAGCUUGUGAUUUUCAUGUGAUUGGUGUUGAGCCUGUUUCUUCCUCUUCUUAAGGGAUCACAUGAUUUUGUCUUAGUCGUGUC